CCCUUAGAUGUUCUGGGCUGCACACGUGCUACAAUGGCAGGUUCAGCGAGCUUCAUGCCCUGAUCUGAAAGGAAUGGGAAAUCUUUUCAAAACCUGCCGUGCUUGGGAUAGAUGUUUGCAAUUAUUCAUCUUCAACGAGGAUUGCCUUGUAAGCGCACGUCAUCAGCGUGCAUUGAAUACGACCCUGUAUUCUGUACACACCGCCCGUCGCUCCUACCGAUUGAAGUUUUCGGUGAGUUGACAGGAGGAUUUUUUUGAAACUGGUUCGCCAGUGGAUUUUAGAUCCAAAUGCCAACGAAUCGAUGGCUUUAGAGGAAGGAGAAGUCGUAACA
rnacentral:rRNA from 1 species